rnacentral:rRNA from 1 species
UGGGGAAUAUUGCACAAUGGGGGAAACCCUGAUGCAGCGACGCCGCGUGAAGGAUGAAGUAUUUCGGUAUGUAAACUUCUAUCAGCAGGGAAGAAAAUGACGGUACCUGACUAAGAAGCCCCGGCUAACUACGUGCCAGCAGCCGCGGUAAUACGUAGGGGGCAAGCGUUAUCCGGAUUUACUGGGUGUAAAGGGAGCGUAGACGGUUGUAUAAGUCAGAUGUGAAAGCCCGGGGCUCAACCCCGGGACUGCAUUUGAAACUGUAUAACUAGAGUGUUGGAGAGGUAAGUGGAAUUCCUAGUGUAGCGGUGAAAUGCGUAGAUAUUAGGAGGAACACCAGUGGCGAAGGCGA